rnacentral:rRNA from 1 species
UACGUAGGGUGCGAGCGUUAAUCGGAAUUACUGGGCGUAAAGCGUGCGCAGGCGGUUAUGCAAGACAGAUGGGAAAUCCCCGGGCUCAACCUGGGAACUGCAUUUGUGACUGCAUAGCUAGAGUACGGUAGAGGGGGAUGGAAUUCCGCGUGUAGCAGUGAAAUGCGUAGAUAUGCGGAGGAACACCGAUGGCGAAGGCAGUCCCCUGGACCUGUACUGACGCUCAUGCACGAAAGCGUGGGGAGCAAACAGG